rnacentral:lncRNA from 10 species
UGCUGUUGACAGGUGGGGAAAUUGAGGCUCAGAGAGGGCAUGUCACUAUCCAAGCCUGCACAGCCUGCUUCAGCACUCAAAGCCGUAUUGUGCUUGAAUACCUUGAGCUAUGGGGAGCUCACUUUCAUGCAGGACUGGGGUUCACUUUCAGGGUUUCAGGGGACCCAUAAAGAAAACUUACCUGGCUUUACCACCCCCAAACUGGCAUGUGGGCCUACCCCCUUUCUCUAGAGCCUUAGGGGGUGGGCAUCACUGAACCCCGCUCUUGGGCUAAGCUGGGUGGGAGACAUUCAGAGCUCAAGUUCUGAGUGGGUACAUACUUGGGGAAGACUUUGCUCCUCCCUGGGCCUUAGUUUCCCCAUCUGUAACAAGGAUAAAAUAGACCCUGCCUCAGAGGAAUAAAUGGGACGUGGUAACGAAAGCCUGGUACAUG